CCUUGACCUCGUUUUCUAAGUUAGGACCUAGGGGUCUCAAAUAAAAAUAUUCCAGGGUUAUACGGUUAACAGUUGAUUAGUUGAAAACACAUACCGACAAAUUUAUUGUGUAAAGGUAGAUAACUCCUAUAAAAUUUCAUCGAAUCGCUUCAAUCCAAAUUAGCCAAAAAUUCCUGAGGAUGUAACGAACAAUUUAGAAAAAGAAUUUUGUCGAUAUCUUUUUUUGUUACGAAGGAGAUGCACACACUUGAUAAACAGUGAAUAGGGAGAUAACUCUUACAAAGAAAA